UAUGUGCGGCACCAUCCCAGCCCUGAUGGGGAUGUCACUUAGGUGCUGGGCCCUGGGCUUCUACCCUGCGGAGAUCACACUGACCUGGCAGCGGGACGGGGAGGACCAGACCCAGGACACGGAGCUCGUGGAGACCCGGCCUGCAGGGGACGGAACCUUCCAGAAGUGGGCAGCUGUGGUGGUGCCGCCUGGAGAGGAGCAGAGAUACACGUGCCUUGUGCAGCACGAGGGGCUGCCGGAGCCCCUCACCCUGAGAUAGGAGCCACCUUCCCAGCCCAGCGUCCCCAUGGUGGGCCUCGUUGCUGGCCUGGUUCUCCUUGGAGCUGUGGUGGCCUCCGUGAUGUGGAAGAAGAAGAGCUCAGAGAAGCCAAUCAGCGUCGCCGCGGGUCGUUGGAUUCCGGCAGGCGCGGGAACCCUCUGUAAAGCGCCGCCUGCGGGGCUUGGGCUGCGCGCCCCUGCCGAGUCUGGAGCCCGCCGGCCUGGGGUGCAGCGGAGGCCGCGGGACCGGCGCUGGGCAGCGGCUGCGAAACAGAUCACCGUUGGCGGAGAGGUCUGA